rnacentral:rRNA from 1 species
UCGUAGUUGAAUUUGUGUCUCGCGCUGUCGGUUCAUCGCCUGCGUGCGGUGCUAACUGGCACGCCGCGGGACGUCUUGCCGGAAGGACCGGUAUGUGUUUCGCUUCGUGUCGUUCUUAACGUCCAUGUACUCUAAAUAUAUAUACGUUAAAUUUAUGUUAUGUGCAUGCACGUGUGUACGUUUCAUCGAUCAUAUUAAAAAAAUGAUUCGAUGUUCGUUUAUCGUGUGUCAUGUAUCAUUUCAUUAUUUUAUACGUUUUAUAAAUAUUGUCAUGGCUCCGUUUCGCUUCGGCCGGCUUAGUGCAUACGUAGUCCGACUUUCAAUCCUGUCUAGGUGCUCUUAACUGAGUGUCGUGGCGGGCCGGCACGUUUACUUUGAACAAAUUAGAGUGCUUAAAGCAGGCUAUUGUUGCCUAAAUACAGUGUGCAUGGAAUAAUGGAACAGGACCUCGGUUCUAUUUUGUUGGUUUUCGGAAUUUCGAGGUAAUGAUUAAUAGGGACAGAUGGGGGCAUUCGUAUUGCGACGUUAGAGGUGAAAUUCUUGGAUCG